rnacentral:rRNA from 1 species
AUAGUUAUUUCUGCUCAAUGUUAAUAGCCGCAGUACCCUGACUGUGCAAAGGUAGCAUAAUAAUUUGGCUUAUAAUUGAAGUCUAGAAUCAAUGAAAAUUGGAUGAAACUAUAUAACUUAUUAUCUUAAUUUACUUAAGAAGUGAAAAUACUUCUAAUAUUAUUAGACGAGAAGACCUUAGAAAUUUUUUAUUUUGUUGGGGCAACAGUUUAUUAAAACAUAAAACAUUUAGGAAAAAGUUAAAUUACUCUAGGGAUAACAGCAUAAUUUAUAAUGUUUGUGACCUCGAUGUUGGAUUAGGUAUAAUCAAGA